AUUGAACGCUGGCGGCAGGCCUAACACAUGCAAGUCGAACGAGUGGCGGACGGGUGAGUAAUGUCUGGGAAACUGCCCGAUGGAGGGGGAUAACUACUGUAAACGGUAGCUAAUACCGCAUACCAUCGGAUGUGCCAAGAUGGGAUUAGCUUGUAUGUGAGGUAACGGCUCACCUAGGCGACGAUCCCUAGCUGGUCUGCGAGGAUGACAAGCCACACUGGAACUGAGACACGGUCCAGACUCCGACGGGAGGCAGCAGUGGGGAAUAUUGCACAAGUGGCGCAAGCCUGAUGCAGCCAUGCCGCGUGUAUGAAGAAGGCCUUCGGGUUGUAAAGUACUUUCAGCGGGGAGGCGUUACCCGCAGAAGAAGCACCGGCUAACUCCGUGCAAGCAGCCGCGGUAAUUC
rnacentral:rRNA from 1 species